GACGUAGGGGGCCAGCGUUGUUCGGAUUCAUUGGGCGUAAAGGGUGCGUAGGCGGCGCGGUAAGUCGGGUGUGAAAUCUUGGAGCUUAACUCCGAAACUGCAUUCGAUACUGCCGUGCUUGAGGACUGGAGAGGAGACUGGAAUUUACGGUGUAGCGGUGAAAUGCGUAGAUAUCGUAAGGAAGACCAGUGGCGAAGGCGGGUCUCUGGACAGUUCCUGACGCUGAGGCACGAAGGUCAGGGGAGCAAACGGG
rnacentral:rRNA from 1 species